GGGGUUGACUGGAUUUGACAGCGGGUAGAGAUGGUACGUAAGCAUGCGGAGCGCAGUCUGCCGGCUCCUUAAUCCCGACGGUCAACAAUUUAUCUGGCGAAACAAAUUACGCUCUCGCUGCCUAAUCGAAGUACAGUAGAUUACUGGCUUUAUUCCGUCACCAGGUGAUGGAACGAGACAUCGCUCAAAGGCUCUUUUUCCGAAGCUCUUUGGUAAAGCGGUGCGGCUAAAUCGGGAAUAGUCAUGGUGUGCCCCGCCGCCGUGAUGAAUUUUUAGGGGAUAAGGUUGCGGUUGGUGGUCCGGGGCUUGCCGCAACUCGAAAACCGAAGUCCGGAAUAAGCAUGUAGAAAGCGUAUGGUUUCCCUGUUUGGACGAGGGUUCGAAUCCCUCCAGCUCCAC
rnacentral:tmRNA from 1 species